GAUGAAGAACGCAGCGAAAUGCGAUAAGUAGUGUGAAUUGCAGAAUUCAGUGAAUCAUCGAAUCUUUGAACGCACAUUGCGCCCUUUGGUAUUCCUUAGGGCAUGCCUGUUCGAGCGUCAUUUAAACCUUCAAGCUAAGCUUGGUGUUGGGUGACUGUCCGCUUCACGGCGGACUCGCCUCAAAAUUAUUGGCGGCCGGUACAUUGGCUUCGAGCGCAGCAGAAACGCGAACUCGGGCCCGUCGUAUUGGCUCCCAGAAGCUAUCUUCACAAUUUUGACCUCGGAUCAGGCAGGGAUACCCGCUGAACUUAAGCAUAUCAAUAAGCGGAGGA
rnacentral:misc_RNA from 1 species